rnacentral:rRNA from 1 species
UACGGAGGGUGCAAGCGUUAUCCAGAUUCACUGGGUUUAAAGGGUGCGUAGGUGGGCAGGUAAGUCAGUGGUGAAAUCUCCGGGCUUAACUCGGAGACUGCCAUUGAUACUAUCUGUCUUGAAUAUCCUGGAGGUAAGCGGAAUAUGUCAUGUAGCGGUGAAAUGCUUAGAUAUGACAUAGAACACCCAUUGCGAAGGCAGCUUACUACGGGAUUAUUGACACUGAGGCACGAAAGCGUGGGGAUCAAACAGG